GGUGUGUGCUAGCUCAACCCCCAAAUUGUAACCAGUGGUUUUUGCCUUUAUAAACUCCAGACUAACAAUUGCUGGGGACACACUUUGAGAAUCCUGAGUCUCGGGGAUCCUGGUGUACUAGGAGCCAAGACUUUGCUUAAGCCGAGGGAGCCACCAGUCCUCAACACCUACAUCCCACUGAGGAGCCCUGAGACCCUUGGUCUCUGGUCUACUGGAAGCUGAGAAAUUUGGAUAAGCCUAACGUUUAGAGGUGUCCACCGACAGGUUCUCCACGCCUGGAUUGUGGCAUCAGAAGCCCUCUCAGAGGCUCAACAGCUGACUCAGGACACUGUGAUCUCCUCAGUUAAGGCUGCUUUCCGAGGUUUACUGCUUUAACACGUCCUUUCCAAGAUCAAGAGACACUGAGCUGAGACACUGGGACCCUGCUAGAAGAGAACACAUCA